UACGUAGGGUGCAAGCGUUGUCCGGAAUUAUUGGGCGUAAAGAGCUUGUAGGCGGUUUGUCGCGUCUGCUGUGAAAUUUCGGGGCUCAACCCCGAACUUGCAGUGGGUACGGGCAGACUAGAGUGUGGUAGGGGGAGACUGGAAUUCCUGGUGUAGCGGUGAAAUGCGCAGAUAUCAGGAGGAACACCGAUGGCGAAGGCAGGUCUCUGGGCCGUAACUGACGCUGAGGAGCGAAAGCAUGGGGAGCGAACAGG
rnacentral:rRNA from 1 species